rnacentral:rRNA from 1 species
GCAUGGGGGGGGCUAUACAUGCAAGUAGAACGCUGAAGAGAGGAGCUUGCUCUUCUUGGAUGAGUUGCGAACGGGUGAGUAACGCGUAGGUAACCUGCCUUGUAGCGGGGGAUAACUAUUGGAAACGAUAGCUAAUACCGCAUAACAAUGGAUGACACAUGUCAUUUAUUUGAAAGGGGCAAUUGCUCCACUACAAGAUGGACCUGCGUUGUAUUAGCUAGUAGGUGAGGUAAUGGCUCACCUAGGCGACGAUACAUAGCCGACCUGAGAGGGUGAUCGGCCACACUGGGACUGAGACACGGCCCAGACUCCUACGGGAGGCAGCAGUAGGGAAUCUUCGGCAAUGGGGGCAACCCUGACCGAGCAACGCCGCGUGAGUGAAGAAGGUUUUCGGAUCGUAAAGCUCUGUUGUAAGUCAAGAACGGGUGUGAGAGUGGAAAGUUCACACUGUGACGGUAGCUUACCAGAAAGGGACGGCUAACUACGUGCCAGCAGCCGCGGUAAUACGUAGGUCCCGAGCGUUGUCCGGAUUUAUUGGGCGUAAAGCGAGCGCAGGCGGUUUGAUAAGUCUGAAGUUAAAGGCUGUGGCUCAACCAUAGUUCGCUUUGGAAACUGUCAAACUUGAGUGCAGAAGGGGAGAGUGGAAUUCCAUGUGUAGCGGUGAAAUGCGUAGAUAUAUGGAGGAACACCGGUGGCGAAAGCGGCUCUCUGGUCUGUAACUGACGCUGAGGCUCGAAAGCGUGGGGAGCGAACAGGAUUAGAUACCCUGGUAGUCCACGCCGUAAACGAUGAGUGCUAGGUGUUGGAUCCUUUCCGGGAUUCAGUGCCGCAGCUAACGCAUUAAGCACUCCGCCUGGGGAGUACGACCGCAAGGUUGAAACUCAAAGGAAUUGACGGGGGCCCGCACAAGCGGUGGAGCAUGUGGUUUAAUUCGAAGCAACGCGAAGAACCUUACCAGGUCUUGACAUCCCGAUGCUAUUUCUAGAGAUAGAAAGUUACUUCGGUACAUCGGUGACAGGUGGUGCAUGGUUGUCGUCAGCUCGUGUCGUGAGAUGUUGGGUUAAGUCCCGCAACGAGCGCAACCCCUAUUGUUAGUUGCCAUCAUUCAGUUGGGCACUCUAGCGAGACUGCCGGUAAUAAACCGGAGGAAGGUGGGGAUGACGUCAAAUCAUCAUGCCCCUUAUGACCUGGGCUACACACGUGCUACAAUGGUUGGUACAACGAGUUGCGAGUCGGUGACGGCGAGCUAAUCUCUUAAAGCCAAUCUCAGUUCGGAUUGUAGGCUGCAACUCGCCUACAUGAAGUCGGAAUCGCUAGUAAUCGCGGAUCAGCACGCCGCGGUGAAUACGUUCCCGGGCCUUGUACACACCGCCCGUCACACCACGAGAGUUUGUAACACCCGAAGUCGGUGAGGUAACCUUUUGGAGCCAGCCGCUAAGGUGACAGAGG